UGCAGCAGUUUCUGAUCCAUCAUGGAAAAAACAGAUCCAUAAGAAGAAAGCGUGGAUCAUAGAGGUUGUUAAGUCAGCAGAUCAGCAGAAGAAACUGUAGGCUUAAAAAGAUGAAACCAUAAAAAGAACAGUGGUAUGUAGCAUACAAAGCAGAUGCAAUGGUGAAAGUAAGGAUAGCAGAUCCAUCUGAAGGACAUUCCUGUCACUGAGCAGCAAAUACAGCCAUCUCUUUGGAAGGUUUCCCCAGCAUAAAUAUUACAUCUAACUGGAGAAGGAAUUGCCAAGAACUGUGACACUGGGGAUGCCAGCAGGGAGCUGCAGUGCUGAUGGUCCUCCUGGUGAAUCCCUGCCUGGCCCAGCUUCAGGUGCCUGAGGAAACAGUGUCAAAUACAACAGUGCAAUGCUCUAGAAGGAAACUCUGCUCAAGAGAGGCAACUCCAUGGAUAAAAUAAUUAGGUUUGAAGCAAAAAAAGGAAAGAAUUUUAAAGAUAUGGAGGAAGAUGGAACGCUAGAGAAGAUGGAACACCAUAUCUGGAAAAUGAAAAAAUAGAAGUCAGGAUGAAAAAGAAAACAAAAGAUGGUUUGGUCAUUCAGAAUGGAUGUUUGAUUUGAACAUCAUUAUUCUAACUAAUGGAGUUUGGUCACAGAACAAGGACACAGGAAAACAGAGCUUCAUUUCACAGGCAUCAUGAACCAAAAUGGCACUUUUCAGAUGAGGAAACUGAGCUGACUUUGACUGUUGCAAGAGCUUGAAUACUGUUGUGCCUUUUUCUGUCUGAAUCAAAAGCAGAGAACUGGCAGAGCCAAUUUUGAUGGAGAAGAUGCUGCUGUGAAAUGCAAUGGACAAACACAACCCACAACCCACUGCUUCCAUUUCCUCAGCUCUCAUGUAGCUCAGCAAGAAUCAGAACAACAUCUGCAACCAAGUACAAGCUGCUGAUCCAACUUGUGUUUCAAAGCAGACGGAGGAACAUCAGGCAAAAUGCUGAAGUUUCCACACCUUUUUAAACAAAUGUCUCCAAAUUUCUAGCAUGUCUUUGAAAAACAGGAAGGAGCAGGAAAACAGGACAGCUAAUUUUUAAGUCACUGUGCUUUGAACGCAAAAAAUAGGAACCAAGUCUUUAAAAUAUUAUUUAAGAUCUACAGUAGGAAAGAAGGUGCUUUGACGUCCAAUUGCCAAAUGUUAGAGCUGCAUGUGCAAAAAUCUCUGAAAAAACUGUAUGGGCUGAAAAAUGACAAAGUGGUAGCCAGAUUCUGAGAGGGCAUCUGCCAGAGUUUUGUGUUCAGUUGUAUGAAUUGGACAUAUGGAUUUAGUUAUAUUAUGUGAGAAGAGUUUGGUGCACAGAAAUUGUACUUCUGUAAAAAGCCAAGAAAUAACUCAGGGGAGCCAGG